AAGUAAAAGUCGUAACAAGGUUUCCGUAGGUGAACCUGCGGAAGGAUCAUUAUUGAAAUAAACCUGAUGGGUUGCUGCUGGUUCUCUAGGGAGCAUGUGCACGCUUGUCAUCUUUAUAUCUCCACCUGUGCACCUUUUGUAGACCUGGAUCUUUUUCUGAAUGCCUAGCAUUUAGGUUUGGGGAUUGACUUUUGUCUUUCCUUGCAUUUUCAGGCCUAUGUUUCUUCAUAUACCCAUGUAUGUUAUAGAAUGUAGUAAAUGGGCCUUUGUGCCUAUAAACCUAUACAACUUUCAGCAACGGAUCUCUUGGCUCUCGCAUCGAUGAAGAACGCAGCGAAAUGCGAUAAGUAAUGUGAAUUGCAGAAUUCAGUGAAUCAUCGAAUCUUUGAACGCACCUUGCGCUCCUUGGUAUUCCGAGGAGCAUGCCUGUUUGAGUGUCAUUAAUAUAUCAGCCUCUUCMGCUUUUGCUUGUUGAGCGUUGGAUGUGGGGGUUUCUUUUGCUGGCCUCUUCUGAGGUCGGCUCCCCUGAAAUGCAUUAGCGAAACAUUCUGUUGACCGUUCAUUGGUGUGAUAACUAUCUACGCUAUUGACGUGAAGCAGGUUUGGCUUCUAACAGUCCAUUGACUUGGACAAUUUUUCAUUAAUGUGACCUCAAAUCAGGUAGGACU
rnacentral:rRNA from 1 species